GGGUUGUGAGGUUAAGCGACUAAGCGUACACGGUGGAUGCCCUGGCAGUCAGAGGCGAUGAAGGACGUGCUAAUCUGCGAUAAGCGUCGGUAAGGUGAUAUGAACCGUUAUAACCGGCGAUUUCCGAAUGGGGAAACCCAGUGUGUUUCGACACACUAUCAUUAACUGAAUCCAUAGGUUAAUGAGGCGAACCGGGGGAACUGAAACAUCUAAGUACCCCGAGGAAAAGAAAUCAACCGAGAUUCCCCCAGUAGCGGCGAGCGAACGGGGAGCAGCCCAGAGCCUGAAUCAGUGUGUGUGUUAGUGGAAGCGUCUGGAAAGGCGCGCGAUACAGGGUGACAGCCCCGUACACAAAAAUGCACAUACUGUGAGCUCGAUGAGUAGGGCGGGACACGUGGUAUCCUGUCUGAAUAUGGGGGGACCAUCCUCCAAGGCUAAAUACUCCUGACUGACCGAUAGUGAACCAGUACCGUGAGGGAAAGGCGAAAAGAACCCCGGCGAGGGGAGUGAAAAAGAACCUGAAACCGUGUACGUACAAGCAGUGGGAGCACGCUUAGGCGUGUGACUGCGUACCUUUUGUAUAAUGGGUCAGCGACUUAUAUUCUGUAGCAAGGUUAACCGAAUAGGGGAGCCGAAGGGAAACCGAGUCUUAACUGGGCGUUAAGUUGCAGGGUAUAGACCCGAAACCCGGUGAUCUAGCCAUGGGCAGGUUGAAGGUUGGGUAACACUAACUGGAGGACCGAACCGACUAAUGUUGAAAAAUUAGCGGAUGACUUGUGGCUGGGGGUGAAAGGCCAAUCAAACCGGGAGAUAGCUGGUUCUCCCCGAAAGCUAUUUAGGUAGCGCCUCGUGAAUUCAUCUCCGGGGGUAGAGCACUGUUUCGGCAAGGGGGUCAUCCCGACUUACCAACCCGAUGCAAACUGCGAAUACCGGAGAAUGUUAUCACGGGAGACACACGGCGGGUGCUAACGUCCGUCGUGAAGAGGGAAACAACCCAGACCGCCAGCUAAGGUCCCAAAGUCAUGGUUAAGUGGGAAACGAUGUGGGAAGGCCCAGACAGCCAGGAUGUUGGCUUAGAAGCAGCCAUCAUUUAAAGAAAGCGUAAUAGCUCACUGGUCGAGUCGGCCUGCGCGGAAGAUGUAACGGGGCUAAACCAUGCACCGAAGCUGCGGCAGCGACGCUUAUGCGUUGUUGGGUAGGGGAGCGUUCUGUAAGCCUGUGAAGGUGUGCUGUGAGGCAUGCUGGAGGUAUCAGAAGUGCGAAUGCUGACAUAAGUAACGAUAAAGCGGGUGAAAAGCCCGCUCGCCGGAAGACCAAGGGUUCCUGUCCAACGUUAAUCGGGGCAGGGUGAGUCGACCCCUAAGGCGAGGCCGAAAGGCGUAGUCGAUGGGAAACAGGUUAAUAUUCCUGUACUUGGUGUUACUGCGAAGGGGGGACGGAGAAGGCUAUGUUGGCCGGGCGACGGUUGUCCCGGUUUAAGCGUGUAGGCUGGUUUUCCAGGCAAAUCCGGAAAAUCAAGGCUGAGGCGUGAUGACGAGGCACUACGGUGCUGAAGCAACAAAUGCCCUGCUUCCAGGAAAAGCCUCUAAGCAUCAGGUAACAUCAAAUCGUACCCCAAACCGACACAGGUGGUCAGGUAGAGAAUACCAAGGCGCUUGAGAGAACUCGGGUGAAGGAACUAGGCAAAAUGGUGCCGUAACUUCGGGAGAAGGCACGCUGAUAUGUAGGUGAAGUCCCUCGCGGAUGGAGCUGAAAUCAGUCGAAGAUACCAGCUGGCUGCAACUGUUUAUUAAAAACACAGCACUGUGCAAACACGAAAGUGGACGUAUACGGUGUGACGCCUGCCCGGUGCCGGAAGGUUAAUUGAUGGGGUCAGCGCAAGCGAAGCUCUUGAUCGAAGCCCCGGUAAACGGCGGCCGUAACUAUAACGGUCCUAAGGUAGCGAAAUUCCUUGUCGGGUAAGUUCCGACCUGCACGAAUGGCGUAAUGAUGGCCAGGCUGUCUCCACCCGAGACUCAGUGAAAUUGAACUCGCUGUGAAGAUGCAGUGUACCCGCGGCAAGACGGAAAGACCCCGUGAACCUUUACUAUAGCUUGACACUGAACAUUGAGCCUUGAUGUGUAGGAUAGGUGGGAGGCUUAGAAGUGUGGACGCCAGUCUGCAUGGAGCCGACCUUGAAAUACCACCCUUUAAUGUUUGAUGUUCUAACGUUGACCCGUAAUCCGGGUUGCGGACAGUGUCUGGUGGGUAGUUUGACUGGGGCGGUCUCCUCCUAAAGAGUAACGGAGGAGCACGAAGGUUGGCUAAUCCUGGUCGGACAUCAGGAGGUUAGUGCAAUGGCAUAAGCCAGCUUGACUGCGAGCGUGACGGCGCGAGCAGGUGCGAAAGCAGGUCAUAGUGAUCCGGUGGUUCUGAAUGGAAGGGCCAUCGCUCAACGGAUAAAAGGUACUCCGGGGAUAACAGGCUGAUACCGCCCAAGAGUUCAUAUCGACGGCGGUGUUUGGCACCUCGAUGUCGGCUCAUCACAUCCUGGGGCUGAAGUAGGUCCCAAGGGUAUGGCUGUUCGCCAUUUAAAGUGGUACGCGAGCUGGGUUUAGAACGUCGUGAGACAGUUCGGUCCCUAUCUGCCGUGGGCGCUGGAGAACUGAGGGGGGCUGCUCCUAGUACGAGAGGACCGGAGUGGACGCAUCACUGGUGUUCGGGUUGUCAUGCCAAUGGCACUGCCCGGUAGCUAAAUGCGGAAGAGAUAAGUGCUGAAAGCAUCUAAGCACGAAACUUGCC
rnacentral:rRNA from 1 species